AAUUAGUGGUUAAAGUUUCGCAAAUUAUUCGCAAAUUAUUGAAAAUCCGAAUUAAACGAUCAGUUAACGAAAUUUUUUCAAAAAAAAUAAAUUAUUCACGAAUUUUUAGGCCAACUGAAUAAUUCACGAAUUAUUCGCGAAUUAUUCCCGAAUUAUUGAAAAUCUGAAUAAAAAACUUAUAAUUUUUAUAUUUAAAUAUAGAUUAUUUUAUAUUUUAUAUCUUAUAUUUUAUAUUUUAUACCGAAUCCAUUUUUUAAGUCAAAUUUUUCAACGAAUUUAAAAAUUAGAAAAUAAAUUUUAUGCGUAUUAUAUCUGUACCGAAUUUUUGCCGAAUCCGAAUUAACUAACUAUGGUUAAAGUACGAGUGCUAUAUAUGCUUCGCAAAAAAUAAAAAAUAAAUUAUAUACUUUGUAAUAUUUGAUUAUGUAUGUAAAUUUUAUAAAUUUAAGUAGAUUAAAAAAUUUAAAUUGUUUAAGACAAAAAUUUUAUUUGGUUGUAAUCAUCUAAUUUGGUAGAAAAAUAUGAAUAAUUACACUAGAUUAGUUAAGUUUGGUUUUUAAGUUAGUUUAAAUACUUAAAUUGUAUCUCUUGAUAAUCUAAAUUGAGUUUAAAUAAGUGAGCAUCCUGUCCACAUAGUGGAGAUCAGAUUGGGUCGAAUUACAAUUAAAAGGUCUGAUUGGACCAAAUCAUAAUUGAGAUUCGUACACGUUGUGUAGAGUUAUCAACGAGCCGAACACGAACUGGUUCAUUAAAAUAUUGAGCAGAAAAAUUUAGCUCAUGUUCAGUUUGUUUAUUAACGAGCCGAACACGAGAGAACAGUAAGUUAGAUUCUUAGUCCUACCCAUAGUUAGUUAAUUCGGAUUCAGCAAAAAUUCGGUACGGGUAUAAUAUGCAUAAAAUUGGUUUCUAAUUUUUAAAUUUGUUGAAAAAUUCAACUUAAAAAACGGAUUUCGUAUAAAAUAUAAAAUAUAAGAUAAUUUAUAUUUAAAUAUAAAAAUUAUAAGUUUUUUAUUCAGAUUUUCAAUAAUUCGGAAAUAAUUCGNUCCUACAUAUAUAGGAUAAUGUGGAAGAAUCUGAUGGAUUUAUAAGUGACAGAUAUAUAUACUAAUAAUAAUAACUAUAUUUAAGCAUUUUAGGUCAAUGGUUUGACCCAACAGUUAUUAUUGCUAACACGAAUUUAAAUCCGUGUGAUGGAUACAUUAGUAAUAAUAACAGAAUUAAAAUACUUUGGACUGGUGAUUUGGUCAAACGAAUUAUUGUUACUGGCGGAUCGGAUCGUUAAAUUUACAUUAAAAAUAUUUUUAUCAGUCACCAACUCUAUUUUAUAAAAUUACUAAAGUACCUUUAAUUUAGAUUCAAGCUUAUCA
rnacentral:lncRNA from 1 species